rnacentral:misc_RNA from 1 species
UUGAAUGAACUUGGUGUGGUUGUUGCUGGCCCUCUCGGGGGCAUGUGCACACCCGCCAUCCUCAUCUUUCCACCUGUGCACCUCUUGUAGCCCUGGAUAGACUCUCCGAGGCAACUCGGUCAGGAAGAAUGCUUCUCAGCUUUCUUUGCACUUCCAGGUCUAUGUUUUUCAUAUACCCCAUAGUAUGUAACAGAAUGUAUUAUUGGGCCCUUGCGCCUAUAAACUUUAUA